AGUUACUACAUCAGCUUGUGCGUCUUCGCCAAUGAGCGGUAAACUUGUUUCGGGCUACGGUCAGAGGCCUGAUGUAACGCUGCUGAUUGUUCGUUUUUCUUCCCAUUGUUUUAUGAACGCAACCUCGGUGUUGCAGACGCUCGUCUAGCAAUGUUUGUUGCUCGGAGUAUACCUGCGGAUCACAAGGACUUAAUCCACGAUGUUUCUUAUGAUUUUCACGGUAGGAGGAUGGCGACCUGCUCUAGUGACCAGAGCGUCAAGGUAUGGGAUAAAGGUGAAAAUGGCGAAUGGCACUGCACUGCAAGCUGGAAGACACACAGUGGUUCGGUUUGGAGAGUUAUGUGGGCGCACCCAGAGUUCGGCCAGGUCUUGGCUUCCUGUUCUUUUGAUAGGACCGCAGCUGUCUGGGAAGAAAUUGUUGGGGAAUCCAAUGAUAAGCAACGUGGACAAAGUCAUUGGAUAAAAAGAACCACACUUGUUGACAGUCGGACCUCGGUGACGGAUGUAAAAUUUGCACCAAAACAUAUGGGACUUAUGCUUACAACGUGUUCAGCCGAUGGUGUGGUGAGGAUAUAUGAGGCGCCAGAUGUGAUGAACCUGAGCCAGUGGUCUCUACAACAUGAAAUUUCUUGUAAGCUCAGCUGUAGUUGUAUUUCUUGGAAUCCUUCAAGUUCCCGUGCUCAUUCCCCUAUGCUUGCAGUUGGAAGUGAUGACAACAAUCCAAAUCUUGUUGGCAAAGUUCAUAUUUAUGAAUACAACGAAAAUACCCGGAAAUAUGCAAAGGCAGAGACUCUCUCUAUGGUCACGGAUCCAGUGCAUGAUGUUGCAUUUGCACCAAACCUUGGAAGAUCUUUCCAUGUAUUAGCUGUUGCAACAAAAGAUGUGUGCAUUUUCAAUCUGGUACCCCUUCGGAGAGAACCAAACAGUACUUCAGGUCCAACAAAAUUUGACAUCCAAACAGUGGCUCAGUUUGAGCAUCAUAAUUCUCAAGUCUGGAGGGUGAGCUGGAAUAUAACCAGUACUCUGUUGGCUUCAUCAGGGGACGAUGGGUGUGUACGUCUAUGGAAAGCUAAUUACAUGGGUAACUGGAAAUGUACUGGGAUUUUGAAAGGUGAUGGAACUCCUGUGAAUGGCACUUCCAAUCAGCAUGGAAUGUUAACAUCACCUUUGGGGUCAGCAAAUCAGACUAUUCAGGGCUCACUAAAUGGUACUUCAGCCAGCAGAAAGAAAGGACAGCUGAUACCGAGCUAACUGGAGUAUCUUUGCUGUUUUGCUGCUUGUUGCAUGCACACAGGAACGGAAAGAGAACUCCGUUUUCCCCUUCCCUGCGCCGACUGACCUCUCCCAAGAAAUACCAACAGUCUGUUAAUUACUAAUCACAAACCUCAAGGAUGUUUUAUUUUCUGCAGUUUGUUAUAUAUUAUUGAACUUGUCUGGAAAUGAUAUAUUAAUAAAUGCUCAUUACUCCUUUGAUGUGUUUGUUUAACACAUUUACUUUCCUCCAGAAAACGGGCAGCACGUGACACGCAGAUAUAAUCAAAGGUUUGAAUUUGUCAUACAAGAUUGGGAAUCGUUAAUUAUUUAACUGUUUAGGACUAUGCAUAAGUUUCAUAGGAAAAUGUACCCCCCACCCCCCAAAAAAUCCUGAAACCUGUUUUGUGAAAAGCUUUGGCUUUCCUUGUGUAUUGUUCACUUCUCAUAUUCUUCAGGUGUGCUUUUUUUGUUUGUUGAGUUUUUGUUUCCUCUUCACAUUUAAAAGCUUUUACAGACUUUUCCCGCUAGAGACAUUCGGCGACUUUUUCUGUGCUUAAUUUUUUUUAUUUUUAUUUUGAUUAUUAUUUUCUUUGGCAUGGUUAUUUUCUAAACUGUUUUACAGCAUGAAGUCUCCUCUUCCCUUCCUUUGUAUUUACUACCUUUCUCUUGUUUUGUUUUUAUUUUUUUCUCUUUUUUUUUUGUUGUUGUCUUUCUGUCUCCAUUGUUUCAGGUAUUUCUUUCCCCCUCUGGAGCCCCCUCGUGCUGGAUCGAGAUGGUCCAGCUAUGCCCAGCUUCUUCCUCCACCUACUCUGAUAGAACAAACUUGUGACGCUGACACUGCCAGCCAUCAGCUUCCUCACCCUCGCAGACGAUAUACAAC